UACGAAGGGGGCUAGCGUUGUUCGGAAUUACUGGGCGUAAAGCGCGCGCAGGCGGUCCUUCAAGUCAGAGGUGAAAGCCCAGAGCUCAACUCUGGAAUGGCCUUUGAGACUAGAGGACUUGGGUACGGGAGAGGUGAGUGGAAUUCCGAGUGUAGAGGUGAAAUUCGUAGAUAUUCGGAAGAACACCAGUGGCGAAGGCGGCUAACUGGCCCGUUACCGACGCUCAGGCGCGACAGCGUGGGGAGCAAACAGG
rnacentral:rRNA from 1 species